UGUAGAUAUAUAAUGCCAAUCAAUCUACAAAAGAUCAAGACGUGAGUCCGGGAAAACCCUGGAUGACAAAGAGCUCCGGGAACGAAACAAUGUACUUGGCAUUCGGUGAGAAAGCCACGCAGGCCACUCCGUACUUGUGCUCCUGGAUCUCUGCCACCUGGGUCUUAUCAACGACAUCCCAGACUCGAACGGCGGGCAUGUGCCCACUCUGAAAACAUGGAGAGGAAGAAAGAGACAAUGAAUCAGUCUGAAAACACCAGUGAAUACUUGUUUCAUGGAUCUAUUCUAAUCAUGGAAAGCUGCAAUCCAAUACUGUAUCCAAUACAAUGGCAAUGAACAGGAAGUAGUUUGGUCUACAGAGACACAAGAGACUGCAGAUGCUGGAAUCUGGAGCAACAUACAAAGGAGCUGGAAGAACUCAGUAGGUCAGGCAGCAUCUAUGGAGGGAAAUGAACAGUCAAUGUUUCGGAUCAAGACCCUUCGUCAGGACUGGAGAGAAAGAGGGGAGGUGGCCAUUAUAAGAAGGUGGGGGGAAGAAGUGGAGCAAGAGCUGGUGGGUGAUAGGUGGAUCCAGGUGAGGGGGUUAAAAAGCAGGUGAGGGAGGCGGGAGAGUGGGAAUGAUGUAGCUGGGAGGUGAUAGGUAGAAGUAACAAAGGGCUGAAGAAGAUGGAAUCUGAUAGGAGAGGACUGUGGAACAUGGAAUAAAGGGAAGGUGAGGAGGGGAACAGAAGGGAGGAAUGUGUGAUUGAUGGGCAGAUCGAGAGGGCAGGGGAGGAGAAAGAGAUGGGGAUAUGGGAAACUGUGGAAUAAAGGAAAAAAGGGGGGGGGAGGAAAGGGACAGAAGAGAGUGGUUACCGGAAGUUAGAGAAAUUGAUGUUGAUGCCAUCAAGUUGGAGACAACCAAGGUGGAAUAUGAGGUGCUGUUCCUCUAACCUGCAUCUAGUCUCGACCUAGCAGUGGAGGAGGCCGCGGACAGGCAGGUUUGUGUGGGAAUGUGAAGUGGAAUUAAAAUAGCUGGCCACCAGGAGAUCCCGACUGGUACAACGGACAGGCCAAAGAUGCUCGACGAACCCGUCACUCAACCUGUGUCGGGUCUCACCAAGGAGGCCGCACCGGGAGCACCGGAUGCAAUAAAUGACACCGAUGGAUUCACAUGUGAAGCAGUUUGGUCUUUUGUGAUUGGAAAAAAUGCUGCUUGACUGGCUGAGUUCUUCCAACAUUUCUGUUUUCGUUUCACCAUUCCUCAAGGCACAUGUUCUCAACAGUUGGACAGAUCCUUGUUGCUCUGCUGGAUAAAUACUGAUUCAUCAGUCAAACAGCAUGCCCCCAAUUCCUAUAUAUGUUGCAACUAAGAAACAGAAGAAAACAUCUAACUGGUGGUGCUUGAAUGAUCUUACUAUCUGGCUUGCUUGCAGCAGUAUCCAUGACAUUAAUUCUUAAUUCAUGAAGUCGCCAUGGUUACCUUGAAGGGUUGGCAACCCUACCAAAGACAAGGGAUCAUGGCUUUAUACUUGCCGCUCUCUUCGGUAACACUUGCCAUGCCUUGCUGUCUCACCUACCUCAAGCUGGCGGGUGUCUUACAAGGAUGUCUGACAUGUGACAGCUCCUGGACAAAGUGCUGGUGUUUUGCUUCUGUUACAGGCUGAACCAGUUCAACCAGCCCAUCACUUUCCUGCAUUUUAUACCUAACAAACGCCAGCUCCAGUGCUCAGCACACGAAAAGAAAGGGUAAUAGUGGCCAAAUACUUAGGAAAGUUGAAUGAGGUUUUAUUCUGCAUCCACCUGACACAGGAAGUACUGUUUGAGUGGAGUGGAAGAGGGAGGACCCCUGUGUCACUGUCACGAUUCUACUCUAUGAACUGCACAAAGAAAAUUAAUGACCUUAAUGACCAAAAGGAGAAAAUGUGUUUUACCUGCAAUCCCUUUGGGCUAUAUUUCUCAUUGAGUCUUCACCUUGAAGCAAGCAAGAUUACAAACUGAAUUAAAACAGAAAAACAGAAAAUGCCGGAAACACUCUGCAGGACUGUAAUGAAGUGUUUUGGGAAGUUGGUUACUCCUAGAAUUAACUCCUGCUUGAGCAAAGACCUGGACCCGCUGCAAUUUGCCUACCAUCACAACAGGUCUACAGCAGAUGCAAUCUCGCUGGCUCUCCACUCUGCUUUGGUGCACCUAGACAACCAUAAAGCAUAUGCAAGGCUGCUGUUUAUUGAUUACAGCUCAGCAUUCAGUACCAUCAUCCCCUCAGUUCUAAUCAACAAGUUUCAAAACCUGGCUCCUGUACCUCCCUCUGCAACUGGAUCCUCAACUUCCUUAUCAGGAGACCACAGUCAGUGUGGAUCGGUAACAACAUCUCUUCCUCGUUGACAAUCAACACAGGCGCACCUCAAGGAUGCAUGCUUAGCCCACUGCUCUACUCUCUCUAUGUUCAUGACUGCAUGGCUAAGCUCAGCUCAAAUGUCAUCUAUAAAUUGACUAAUGACACCACUGUUGUUGGUAGAAUCUCAGAUGGCAACUAGGAGGCGUACAGAAGUGAUUCAGCUCAGCUGUUUGAGUGGUAUCGCAACAACAACCUUGCACUCAACAUCAUCAAGACCAAGGGAUUGGCUAUGGACUUCAGGAAGGGUUAGUGUGGAGAACACACACCAGUCCUCAGUGAGGAGUCAGCAGUGGAAAGGGUGAGCAGCUUCAAGUCCCUGGGUGUCAACAUCUUGGAGGAUCUGUGCUGGGCCCAACAUACUGAUACAAUCAUGAAGAAGGCACACCAGCAACUAUAAUUUGUUAGGAGUUUGAGGAGAUUCAGUAUGUCAUCAAAGACUCUUGCAGAUUUCUAUAGAUGUACGGUGGAGACCAUUCUGACUGGUUGCAUCACUGCCUGGUAUGGAGGCUCCAAUGCAUAGGAUCACAAGAGGCUGCAGAGGGCUAUAGACUCAGCCAGCUUCAUCAUGGGCACAACCCUCCCAACCACCGAUCACAUCUUCAAGAGGCACUGCCUCAAGAAGGCAGCAUCCAUCACUAAGGACCCUCACCAUCCGUCUUGUCACUACCCUUGGGAAGGAGGUACAGGAGCCUGAAGACCCAAUGCCAUCAGAUUUCUGAAUGGUUCAUGAACCCAUGAACACUAACUCGCUAUUCCUUUUCUUUUGCACUAUUUAUUUAGUUAUGGUAAUCUUAUCUCUUUGCACCGUAUUGCUGCUGCAAAACAACAAAUUUCAUAUCAUCUAAGUCAGAUAAUAAAUCUGAUUCUGAUUCAGGUCAGGCAACAUCCAUGGGAAAAGAAAGAGAGUUAACAUUCCAGGUUGGAGAUCCUUUGUCAGAUGGUUCUGACAUGGGGCCCUUGACCGGAAAGGUUAAUUCUGCAACUGACCAUAUAAAUGUUUCUACCAUUUUCUGUUUUUAUUUCAGAUUUCCAGCAUCUGCAGUUGUUUUUUAUUUUUGUACACUGAGUAACCUUUCCCCUACAUAAGUAGCCUCUCCAACAGCUUUUCUAAGUUCACAAACUGUACCAAAAUAUGAAAUACUCCUACAGUCCCACACUACCACUGAGAAGCGAUGCCUUGACAGGAGGCAGGUAUGAAUUAGAGAAUCAGAGAAUCAGUCUUAUAAGUGUUUCAGCAUUACCUCCAACCACCAAAUGAAGCUAAGUUCCUGAGCAUAUGACAGUUUUGACCACUCAUCUCUAACUAAUCUCAACUGAAGGUCAACUGUGGCUCACCCAGUAACAUUUUAUCUGUGUCAGUAAGUUUGGUUUCAAGUACUACUUCACAAUGGAUGCGCCAGUGCAGCAUUGGGAGAGUGGUGCACUGUCAACAGUGCAGUCUUGUGGAUGAAUUGUCAAACCAAGACCUAUCUUUCCAAGAAAUAUCACAUCAGCUAGGGGCUCUAAUGUCAUAUCUAUUGGAAUCUUUUAGCAUAGGAGUGAUUGUCUGUCAUUUGCUACACCCAGGGAAAUAUCCAUAAAGAUUUAAAGGGUUAUCCAGUCAUCCCAUUUCAGGGGAAUGAGCAGACAAUCCAGUGCCUUCCUGAGAGAGUGACGGGACAUUAAAAAAGACACCAAAUGAUCUCCUAGUGGGCUAAAGAACCUCCCACAGCAUAAUUUUGAAGUGCAGCGAGGGAGCUCUCUCAAGUAUUUCACCUUCUCCCAACAUCUCUCAGGGGCACCAUGCUAUUUAUACAUAGGGUGUUGGUCUUCCCUGCUACAAUAGUGACUAAACUUUAAAAAUAGUUAAUUUGCUACAAUGAUCCUGAGGUUGUGAAAGGCACUAUACGAAUGUAAGUGCUUUUCAUCAUAAAAUAAUGUUAUAAACAGAGCAGAGGUAGGCCAUUCGGCCCUUCAAGCUUGUUCAGCCAUUCAACAAGAUCAUGCCAACCCCAUGCACCUGCAUUUCAUUUUCCAGUCUGAUCUCUCAUUUCAUCCCUGAAUGGCCAACCCUAAUCCUGAGACUUCCCCAGUUAUGGACUCUCCAGCCUGAGGAAACAUCCUGUCAAUCCUUGUCAAAAUCCAGUGCCUUAAUGAGAUUGUGCCUUCUUCUAAUGCACUCUGGAAAAUCAGAUACUCUCUAUUCACUCCUUUGUCUAGGACAACACUCUGUUUCCUCUCCUUUCCCCACCUUUAUACCAGCGCUUAUCUGGAAAUUCAACAUGUGGGGAUGUUUACAUCAGUACUAUGUGAGUGAGAAUGGAUUUUUUCUGGAAUGAAGUGUGAAACUGUUCAUUUCUGGGUGCUUCCCAAAGACAGUCAUUAGCUUAGAAAUAGGCCCUUGGGCCAACCACGUCCACGCCAAUCAGCAGGCACUCAUUUACAGCGGCCAAUUAACCUACCAACCUGUACAUCUUCAGGAUAUAAAAGGAAACACCUGGGGAAAACUCAUAGGGAAACUCACAAGAAGAACGUACAAACUCCACACAGACACCACCAGAGGUCAGAAUUGAACCCGGCAACAUGACUAGCUGCACCACUGCGCCAUCCUUGACACUUGUGUCUUUGAUGAAACUUCUGUGCUAGAUGCACAUCAAAUUACAUCAAUUCAAACUUCAUUGCUGAUCCAAACAAAAGCAGCAAUAGACCCUCGUGCCAUGGCUGACCUUUUACCCAACUCCCUGCUCUAACUCCAUAUCCUUUUUAGUAAUUGUUUAUUUUAUCAGUCAUAUGUGCAUUUGAUGCCAGUCAUUACAAUACUGUGGAGGUAUGGUUACCAUAUGGAGCGAUUUAUGUAUAUUUUACGAUUUACCGACAAAAUCGACUUAUAGACAUCUGUAAAAUGGAACCCGUUUACUACCUGGGGCCUGUACAUACAUUAUUUGUGUGUUCUGACUAGCUCAUGUAUUAUGCAGUCCUGGUUUAUGAUUUCCUUGCAAACCAUUCGGCCUGACAAUCAAUGGACUCUUGGGGUCCAUUCUAGUAUUGUGUUUUCAUCAACUGGUCUUUAAACACUGUAGUCCCUCAGGGACAUUUGAGGCUCAACCUCUCCCCUGUGACAGACACUCCGGCUGACGGAGGCACUCCCAACAAAUUGACACAGCUUGUUGACACAGGGAUUAGGGGACAGGAGGUCUUUGCUCCUUUCUACAGGCCAGCUCCAGCUGCAUUUCCCUUUCUUAAGAUGUACUGUAGGUUAGGUGAAGAGGGAAAAGAACAACACUCCAAAAACUCUGCUACUGAACGCUAUGUUGGAACAUGCACUGCCUGGGGGGCCCAGAAAAGGGCCGGGGAUAAGGGAACAGCCGGGAUGUCUUCAGUGAUAGAAUAGCCCAUGGGCAGUUACUGUUCAGGCAUGCACCUCCAAAAAAAUCCACUUGUUACUUGAGAAUGGCAAAUAUAUGUAGAACUCAACCCCCAACCCUCAGAGGUAGGAGUUGAUUCUCAAAUGUGACAGCCAUUUCUGUAGCUAUGAGUUAUUUUGAGACACACUGAUAAAGUACUGCAGAAGUGCAAGUCCUUCAUUUGUGCCCUGAUUCUUCAGUAUAAACUCUCUUUAAUAUUCCACUCUCUCCUCACUCUGUCCAUUAGCAUUUGGGCUAUGUCCUAGGCCAGACCAUCUUUAGCUGCAUCAUCAAAAACCUCCUUCCUUCGUAAGGUCAGAAGUGGGCAUAUUCGCUGAUGAUUGUUCAAUUCCUUUGUUAUUGGCAGUAAAUCAUCAAAUACUCCCCAACAGCUCUGUGGGAGCACCUUCACCAGAAGGGCUACUGUGGUUGAAGAAGGCAGCUAACCACCACUCUCAAGGGCAUAGAAGGAUAGGCAAUAAAUGUUCACAUUGUCAACCACACCCACAUCAUAUGAAUCAAUAAAUAACAUUCACUCAAGUGCGCAACUAUGUGGCCUUAUUAACAGAUUUCCACCGACAUGCGUACUGACAUGUUACAAUGUGGAAAAGGUUGUUCAGCCCAUGGAGUCUGUGCCAGCUCCCAGUAGAUCAAUCCCAUCCGUCCCUUUCCCCUUCCCUUGCCCUAUAGCCCUGUAACUUAAUCCCUCUCACACGCCCAUCAUCUCCCCUUUGAUUCUUUUGUCACUAAUAUACACUAAUGGGUGAUUUACGCAGCCAUUUAAUCUACCAGAAGGAAACCUAGAUGGUCAUGGGGAGAAGGUGUAAAGUCCAUUCAGACAGCACCAGAGGUCAGGAUUGUACUGUGAGGCAGCAAUACUACCUGCUGUUCCACCAAGAGGAAAGCAGAUAUCCUUACUCGAAGGUGUUAGUGAACCAGACGAGUUUUCUGACAAUCCAGUUACUGUUGCUAAGAGUAGCUUUAAGUCCAGGGCUAAUGACUGUUGCUUAAAUUCCCCAGCUGCCUUGGUGGGAUAUGAACCCGUUUCUCUGAGGUCAAUGGUCCAGAAUGCUGACUGCCAAUUCAGUGAAUAAAUCACUAUGCCACCAUAACACACUGAGUAAUUGAUGGUUUGUUGAGACUUCACUUAUACAAACACCAUCCCUAGUUCCAUAUAUGUCCUUACAAAAGGAGAGAACCCUCUACAGAGUUAUACACAGAUAUCCCAGUGAGACACCGUAAACAUUGUGAAACACACAUCUCCCUUUCCCAGGGCGUUCACGCGAGGGCCUGCCUCAACAGCACACAGCAAAGGGUUGUGCCCUUCGCUCACCAGGCCAGCAAACAUUACUAGCAUUUAUUGGCCAGUCCUCGGUGUUCUUGAAAAGGUGGUGGUGAGCCAGCUCCUUGGAUCACUGCGGAACUUCUGGUAAAGGUGCCUCCACUGUAUUGUUGGUGAGUAAGUUCCAGAAUUUAGACUCAGCAACAAUGAAGGACCCGGUGACAUACUUCUAAGUCAGGCUGGUGCGGACUUGGAAGGGAACCUGCAGGUGGGGGUGUUCUCCUGCACCUGUCAGGACUGACAACCCUAGUCUGGG